UCUUCUCUCACUGUCUGGUCUCCUGCUGGUGCUUCCCACUGGCUGACUCUAACUGGAAGAGAGCAAGGGGUUGGGGUGACCAGACUACGGGGUUGGGAUGACCAGACUACGGGAUUGGGGUGACCAGACUACGGGGUCAGCUCCUCGGAGCCUUAGAGCCGGGAGAGAAGGGCAAAGAAAGGGUCUGCAGAGGCUAAUGGAAGUGAGAACGACCAGCAGCUCAGUGUUUAUCUGUACCUAGUGUGAUUUUUGGCUUCCAGUGUAGGCUUUUAAAAAAUUGCUGUAGAACUGUAUUAUUUUUAUUUUCUGUACGUUAUUCACUUACCUCUGAUAAAAUUAUAAGUUCACUAAAGGCAAGGACUGUAGCAUAUUUCUAGUCCUCACAAAGCUUAGCAUAAGGCAAAAAUGGGAAUAAUAGUGAUAGUCAUUAUUAAUAUAGCACUUACUAUGUAUCAGACAAGAAAACUGAGAUCCAGAGGGCAGUUAAGUAGGAACUGAACAACAAAUGUGCUUCUUCUUAGUGUCUGUGUCUACAGAGAUGGUUGCUUUCAUCAAAGACUCUAAAGACACAGAAGAUGAAGGAUGGGAUAGAAACUCAAGGUGAGCAUUUGAAACUCUGUUCCAGCAUUUCAGAGAACCCACCGUGCGACAGUUGGUAUUGGGAGUGGUCUGAUAAAGCAGGCAAUAAGAUAGGGCCAGGGAGUUGGAUCGCUUGCCAUCUGGCUGGCAAUGAGGACUUUAUCACUGGUGGUUGGUGGAGCACAGCCAGCCUGUGGCACAAAUUGACCUGAGCCAGUUUUUAGACUCAGAACUCAGUGACUGAAGAACAGGUCUUCAAGAAGUAGGACUCUGCAACCCCAUUGCAAGGAUUCACGGAACAGUGAAUGAGAGCUCCUGUUGCUGCACACCCUCACCAGUGUUUGGUGUCGUCAGUGUUUUGGAUUUUGACCAUUAUAAUAGGUUCUGAGGACAGAAAUGAUGAAUAGACCUGACAUUGUUCCUGUCUUCAUGGCGCUUCCAAUGUGUUUGCUAACUGGGGCAUUUUCUCUCUUUGAGCAGUCCCUGCAAACGCAGCCCCAUGAGGACAGAAAACACACCUACCCUGUCAUCUUGGAAUCUACAGCACCCAGCACAGUGCUUGGGAGAGAGAAGACCCACAAAACAUGCCAGAACAGUUCACUGAAGGAUGCACUGGAGUCUCCUUUAAGGAAACACAAAAAUACAUUUCUCAGCUGCAACUUCUGAGAAAGCUCAAUCUUACAGACUCUGGAUGAAGUUGCUGAAGAAGUUUCUCACUUUUAAAGAAAGAUGUGCAAAUCUGGUUGCAAAGGAGUGACCACAGCAGGAAUCACGUUUCCUGGUUCGAAAUGGGAGGAGAUGGGCCGAACAAAGGAGGGGGGGAAUGUCAGAGAAUUCCUCUACUCUAGCUACUUAUAAGUAAAUAUGUAUUGGGCACCUACUAUGUGCCAAGCUGUGGGCUAGGAGCUGCAGAUACAGUGGUAAACAAUAAAGAGCAGAGCUGGCUUCAUGGACAUAUGACCCAUGCCUUUGCCUAAGGCAAUCAUGCUUAGGAGGGCCUUGCGCUUCCUUAAUGUUCUAUUGGUGUCAUCUUGAAAUUCUUAAUAAUAUUCAAACAAAAGGCCCCACAUUUUCAUUUUAUGCUGGGCUCUGCAAAAUAUGUCAUUGGUCCUGAUAAACACACAGUCAUUUCUGCUUUCAUGCAGUUUGGAAUAUAGACAGGAAGAGAGACAUGCACUGUUUAGCUAAGCUACUAAUUCCAAUUGUGAUCAGGCUGUUAAGGAUAGGUCCAGUGUGCUGAGAGGCAUGUGACACGGGGACCCAGUCUAGUCUGGAGUCGUGGAAGACACCCAGAAGAAGGGCCAUGUAAGCAGAUGUCUGACACAUGCAGAGUUCUCUAGGGAAUCAUUGCAGACAAGGGAACAGCACGUGCGAAGGCCCCCAGGCAGGAAGGAACUGAGCCUGUUAGAAUCAGAGGAGGCCAGUGUGGGUAGACCGCAGCGAACAGGGAGAAUUUUGUCUUUGGCAGGAACACCAAGGUCUGGAUGUUCUGUGGUCAGGUUUAUAUAAAUUUUCCCACUUGGUAACUUGAGGCAACCCAUAGAUUCCUUUCCAUUAUUUCCAUUAUUGCUGUCUGAUCCAUGAAUUAAUUUAUCCUCCCUUAAUAUUGCUGUUCUCUGGAAGGGGGAGGGGCAUUUCACAAAUACCAAAUCUCUCAAAAUAUUAAUCAUUCUAAGUUAUGUAAGUUGAAAUAAUAUAUAAAUAAUAAUUACUGAGCAUUUAUUCAAGAAUCUAGAAUGAAGAUGUUAUGCACAAACUUAACCACAGCCCGGGCAGUAUUUGCAUGCUUAGUCUGAACAAUGUUUGUAAAUUUAUUAUACCACUGCAUGCUGCGUGCACCAUUUUAUUUUUGUUUGUUCUUUACCGAGACCUCUUUGACACGUAGAAGCAGAAGUUCCCUAGACCUUGGCUUUUUAGAAUUUGGUGAAUGUCCCUCAGCAGGCUCAUACAGCUUGUGAUUUUAUAGUUUGUUACUCUUUCAUCUCUCCUCCUUCAAAGCUGUAGAGAGCUACUCUAUUAAAGUCUCUUUACAGGUGAGCGGGGAAUGCCACGCUAUUCGUGAUGGGGAAAAAAAUUGAAAUCCACUGUACAUUAGAAAGUUUACUUGGCUGAAACAUCUGUAAUUUGAAGUCUUGGGGGAUAGUCAAACUGGAAGUGCUGGGGGGAGAAAAAAGAACUUCCAGCGAUGAGUACUUAAAUAGCCCCAUAAAUCACAUUUUAAAAGACAGUCCAUAUGUUUACCAAAUUGAUUUCUCUGGAAAAACGGA